CCAAUAGCGUAUAUUAAGGUUGUUGCAGUUAAAAAGCUCGUAGUUGAAUUUCGGGGUUAGUAGGUUGGUCAUGCCUCUGGUAUGUACUGGUCUCACUGAUUCCUCCUUCCUGAUGAGCCGUAAUGCCAUUAAUUUGGUGUUGCGGGGAAUCUGGACUGUUACUUUGAAAAAAUUAGAGUGUUUAGAGCAAGCUAACGCUUGAAUACAUUAGCAUGGAAUAAUGAAAUAGGACGUUCGAUCCUAUUUUGUUGGUUUCUAGGAUUGACGUAAUGAUUAAUAGGGAUAGUUGGGGGCAUUAGUAUUCAAUUGUCAGAGGUGAAAUUCUUGGAUUUAUUGAAGACUAACUACUGCGAAAGCAUUUGCCAAGGAUGUUUUCAUUAAUCAAGAACGAAAGUUAGGGGAUCGAAGACGAUCAGAUACCGUCGUAGUCUUAACCAUAAACUAUGCCGACUAGGGAUCGGAUGAUGUUAAUUUUUUAAUGACUCAUUCGGCACCUUACG
rnacentral:rRNA from 1 species